rnacentral:rRNA from 1 species
CCUACGGGAGGCAGCAGUGGGGAAUAUUGCACAAUGGGCGAAAGCCUGAUGCAGCAACGCCGCGUGAGCGAUGAAGGCCUUCGGGUCGUAAAGCUCUGUCCUCAAGGAAGAUAAUGACGGUACUUGAGGAGGAAGCCCCGGCUAACUACGUGCCAGCAGCCGCGGUAAUACGUAGGUGGCGAGCGUUAUCCGGAUUUACUGGGCGUAAAGGGAGCGUAGGCGGAUGAUUAAGUGGGAUGUGAAAUACCCGGGCUCAACUUGGGUGCUGCAUUCCAAACUGGUUAUCUAGAGUGCAGGAGAGGAGAGUGGAAUUCCUAGUGUAGCGGUGAAAUGCGUAGAGAUUAGGAAGAACACCAGUGGCGAAGGCGACUCUCUGGACUGUAACUGACGCUGAGGCUCGAAAGCGUGGGGAGCAAACAGGAUUAGAUACCCCAGUAG